UGGCAGUGCGUCUUAAGCAUGCAAGUGAAACGGGAUGUAGCAAUACAUCUAGUGGCGAACGGGUGAGUAACGCGUGGAUGAUCUACCUACGAGAUGGGGAUAACUAUUAGAAAUAGUAGCUAAUACCGAAUAAAGUCAAUUAAUUUGUUAAUUGAUGAAAGGAAGCCUUUAAAGCUUCGCUUGUAGAUGAGUCUGCGUCUUAUUAGCUAGUUGGUAGGGUAAAUGCCUACCAAGCCGAUGAUAAGUAACCGGCCUGAGAGGGUGAACGGUCACACUGGAACUGAGAUACGGUCCAGACUCCUACGGGAGGCAGCAGCUAAGAAUCUUCCGCAAUGGG
rnacentral:rRNA from 1 species